AGUGAACGCUGGCGGUAGGCCUAACACAUGCAAGUCGAACGGCAGCACAGUAAGAGCUUGCUCUUACGGGUGGCGAGUGGCGGACGGGUGAGGAAUACAUCGGAAUCUACUUUUUCGUGGGGGAUAACGUAGGGAAACUUGCGCUAAUACCGCAUACGACCUACGGGUGAAAGCAGGGGAUCUUCGGACCUUGCGCGAUUGAAUGAGCCGAUGUCGGAUUAGCUAGUUGGCGGGGUAAAGGCCCACCAAGGCGACGAUCCGUAGCUGGUCUGAGAGGAUGAUCAGCCACACUGGAACUGAGACACGGUCCAGACUCCUACGGGAGGCAGCAGUGGGGAAUAUUGGACAAUGGGCGCAAGCCUGAUCCAGCCAUACCGCGUGGGUGAAGAAGGCCUUCGGGUUGUAAAGCCCUUUUGUUGGGAAAGAAAAGCAGCAGGUUAAUACCCCGCUGUUCUGACGGUACCCAAAGAAUAAGCACUGGCUAACUUCGUG
rnacentral:rRNA from 1 species